rnacentral:lncRNA from 1 species
GCUCAUAACUCACGCCUGAGUUUUUGAAAUGAGAUGUUUCUUCAUGUGAAGGGGAAUCAGAAGUGCUUCUGUCGUUCUAAAUCACAGGGUUGGUGAAGGGAGAAACAGCAGUUUGACAGUGACUGGAAUAGUACAGCCUAAAGGCAAGUUGCAGAAAAGUUGAUGUGGAAAAUACAAUUUACAUUAGUGUUCAAAAAACACCUCUCGUAAUUUUUUAAUAGGCACUCCACCAAAUAUCCACAGUACAAAUGGCUGUAGUGUAAGUAACCACAGGGCAAGAAACCCUUGGCAAAGGCUUGGAAAUGGUUAAUCAGUGGAAGGCUGUUCCUUGGAUCAAAUAAUAAAUGAAUCAUGGUAUAAAGCCAGGGAUUGUUUCUGGGACUGGGGGUAUCUCAGGCAUGGAUGACCUGCAGGAGGAGGCAGACAGCCAGCUAAUUAAAGUCUACAGAUGACUAAGUUGUUUUCAGUAAUAAAAACUAUGGAGGCUUGUGAGAUGCUAAAUGUUUUGUACACAUUGGAAAUUUCCCACACGGUUAACUUGUGUAAAUACAUUGCUAUCAAUGUACUUUAAACAGAAAAACCUUCUUCUGUAUAUAUAGGACCCAGAAACUGCCAAAAAUUUUUAUGGAAAAGCUCAAGGACAUGGUGACAUCCUCCUUGAUUAUCUGAAGAGGAGAUCUGUGUCUUCACAGCUGCAAAUCAAAAACCAGGACAAGCUCCUGAAAGACCAGGACCACACCUGGGUCUCUUGCACAAGAGUACAUUCCCAGCCACAGAGCUGGAAGGAAAUGCCUGUUGUGGCAGAGGGAUACCCUGUGUGCUGCUGUCAUGCACAGUACCACCUCAGGCUUACCCACAGCAUCCCUGCAGUGUCACCAAAAGUGUAAAUGUGGCAAACAGAAACCCAGAGAGCCACAGUGUUUGACUGCAACUCCACUGCGUAAGUUGUGACACCGCAGAAAGGUCAAGCACAUUGGAUGCCCAUUUGGCUGCCUGCCUACUCACUCAGUACUUGUGCCUGCACUGGAGGAGGGCAGCAAAACCUGAGCACAUCUGUUUUGUUUGAGGACAAAACCACCAGAAAACCAGACAGUUUUAAGAAGAUCUUACUUGGGUGCUUUCCAAAUAGUACACAGGCUUGUAGGAGAAACUGUUUUCUUGAGGAAUGACCCUUAUAUUUAUAUAGUCAUCACUUGGAUGUAGAUGUAAAACCUUCUCAAAACAAAUACUAUCUUUGUGCCUUAUCUGAAGACAGAGGGAGAAAUACACAUCCUAGGAUGGAGAUGAGCCCUUCUUCACUGACAGGCAAGAAUUUUAUAUCAUUAAUUCAUCAACCUCUACAUUAAUUAUGUUUCAUUAUCUCUUAGAGUUCCUCAUGUGGACAGAUAAGAUCAUUCCAAAUGAGAAAACAGAUUACUUUGAUAAAUAGAGAGCUUUGCUGAAUGAGAAUGAAAUGAACAUUUUAAUAAAUGUUUACACAAGUUUUCCA